CGGAGCUAACAUGCAGCCGAGCGGUAGAGAUCUUUCGGGAUCUUGAGAGCGGCGUACGGGUGCGGAACACGUGUGCAACCUGCCUUUAUCAGGGGGAUAGCCUUUCGAAAGGAAGAUUAAUACCCCAUAAUAUAAGAGACGGCAUCGUUUUUUAUUGAAAACUCCGGUGGAUAGAGAUGGGCACGCGCAAGAUUAGAUAGUUGGUGAGGUAACGGCUCACCAAGUCAACGAUCUUUAGGGGGCCUGAGAGGGUGAUCCCCCACACUGGUACUGAGACACGGACCAGACUCCUACGGGAGGCAGCAGUGAGGAAUAUUGGACAAUGGGUGCGAGCCUGAUCCAGCCAUCCCGCGUGAAGGACGACGGCCCUAUGGGUUGUAAACUUCUUUUGUAUAGGGAUAAACCUACCCUCGUGAGGGUAGCUGAAGGUACUAUACGAAUAAGCACCGGCUAACUCCGUGCCAGCAGCCGCGGUAAUACGGAGGGUGCAAGCGUUAUCCGGAUUUAUUGGGUUUAAAGGGUCCGUAGGCUGAUUUGUAAGUCAGUGGUGAAAUCUCACAGCUUAACUGUGAAACUGCCAUUGAUACUGCAGGUCUUGAGUGUUGUUGAAGUAGCUGGAAUAAGUAGUGUAGCGGUGAAAUGCAUAGAUAUUACUUAGAACACCAAUUGCGAAGGCAGGUUACUAANCAACAACUGACGCUGAUGGACGAAAGCGUGGGGAGCGAACAGGAUUAGAUACCCUGGUAGUCCACGCCGUAAACGAUGCUAACUCGUUUUUGGGGCGCAAGUUUCAGAGACUAAGCGAAAGUGAUAAGUUAGCCACCUGGGGAGUACGAACGCAAGUUUGAAGCUCAAAGGAAUUGACGGGGCCCCGCACAAGCGGGGAUUAUGUGGUUUAAUUCGAUGAUACGCGAGGANCCUUACCAGGGCUUAAAUGGGAAAUGACAGGUUUAGAAAUAGCCUUUUCUUCGGACAUUUUCAAGGUGCUGCAUGGUUGUCCGUCAGCUCGUGCCGUGAGGGUUGUAAGGUUAAGUCCUGCAACGAGCGCAGCCCCGGUUCCUAGUUCCAGUCAUUGAGUUGGGGACUCCUAUUGANACUGGCUACGGAGAUAGAGCGAAAGGAUGGGAUGANAUCAAAUGCCCUUACNCANUNGGCCGCACAGNUAAACAAUGAUCGGUCGGNGCGGCAGCUAUAGAGNG
rnacentral:rRNA from 1 species